CAAAUGGAGAGUUUGAUCCUGGCUCAGGAUGAACGCUGGCGGCGUGCCUAAUACAUGCAAGUCGAACGAAGAAUACAGGGAGCUUGCUUCCUGUAUCCUUAGUGGCGAACGGGUGAGUAAUACAUAAGCAACCUGCCCCUUAGACUGGGAUAACUAUUGGAAACGAUAGCUAAUACCGGAUAGCUGGAAGAGAGGCAUCUUUCUUCCAUUAAAGGUUUGAAACACUGAGGGAUGGGCUUAUGGCGCAUUAGCUAGUUGGUGAGGUAACGGCCCACCAAGGCUGUGAUGCGUAGCCGACCUGAGAGGGUGACCGGCCACACUGGGACUGAGACACGGCCCAGACUCCUACGGGAGGCAGCAGUAGGGAAUUUUCGGCAAUGGGCGCAAGCCUGACCGAGCAACGCCGCGUGAGUGAUGACGGUCUUCGGAUUGUAAAGCUCUGUUGUAAAGGAAGAACGUUACGGAUGUACUCCGUAAGUGACGGUACUUUACCAGAAAGCCACGGCUAACUACGUGCCAGCAGCCGCGGUAAUACGUAGGUGGCAAGCGUUAUCCGGAUUUAUUGGGCGUAAAGGGUGCUCAGUCGGUUGUUUAAGUUUGUGGUGAAAGUGCGGGGCUUAACUCCGUAUUGCCAUGAAUACUGGCCAACUAGAGUGCAGGAGAGGGCAGUGGAAUUCCAUGUGUAGCGGUAAAAUGCGUAGAUAUAUGGAGGAACACCAGUGGCGAAGGCGGCUGCCUGGCCUGUAACUGACGAUCAAGCACGAAAGCGUGGGUAGCAAAUAGGAUUAGAUACCCUAGUAGUCCACGCCGUAAACGAUGAAUACUAGGUGUUGGUGAAACUCAGUGCCGCAGUUAACGCAAUAAGUAUUCCGCCUGUGGAGUAUGCACGCAAGUGUAAAACAUAAAGGAAUUGACGGGGGCCCGCACAAGCGGUGGAUUAUGUGGUUUAAUUCGAAGCAACGCGAAGAACCUUACCAGGUCUUGACAUACCGGGCAAAACCCUAGAGAUAGGGCAAUAGUUAUGCCGGAUACAGGUGGUGCAUGGUUGUCGUCAGCUCGUGUCGUGAGAUGUUGGGUUAAGUCCCGCAACGAGCGCAACCCUUGUCUUCAGUUACCAUCAUUAAGUUGGGGACUCUGGAGAGACUGCCGGUGAUAAACCGGAGGAAGGUGGGGAUGAGGUCAAAUCAUCAUGCCCCUUAUGACCUGGGCUACACACGUAAUACAAUGGCGCAUACAAAGGGAAGCAAAGCAGCGAUGCGGAGCAAACCCCACAAAGUGCGUCCCAGUUCGGAUUGCAGUCUGCAACUCGACUGCAUGAAGUUGGAAUCGCUAGUAAUCGCGGAUCAGCAUGCCGCGGUGAAUACGUUCUCGGGCCUUGUACACACCGCCCGUCAAACCAUGAGAGUUGGUAAUACCCGAAGCCAGUGGCCUAACCGCAAGGAGGGAGCUGUCGAAGGUAGGAUCAAUGAUUGGGGUUAAGUCGUAACAAGGUAUCCCUACGGGAACGUGGGGAUGGAUCACCUCCUUU
rnacentral:rRNA from 1 species